CAGUUAUCACAGUGCUGAUGCUGUCCAUCUUAAAGGUACAGUACUGUGAUAACUGAA
rnacentral:pre_miRNA from 1 species